UUUGUAGGUUAAGUAUGUCUCAUACAAUGUUUGGGACAUACUUAUACUAAAA
rnacentral:pre_miRNA from 1 species